rnacentral:rRNA from 1 species
AAUGAUGGGAAUUUAAACCUCUUCCAGAGUAUCAAUUGGAGGGCAAGUCUGGUGCCAGCAGCCGCGGUAAUUCCAGCUCCAAUAGCGUAUAUUAAAAUUGUUGCAGUUAAAAAGCUCGUAGUUGAAUUUCUGCUGCAUUGCUUUUGCUCCUUUACGAGUCUUUGCAUUGUGGCUUAUUUCGGACUUUGUUUUACAAUGUCCGGAUGUUUACUUUGAGAAAAUUAGAGUGCUCAAAGCAGGCUUUCGCCUUGAAUAGUUUAGCAUGGAAUAAUAAAGUAGGACUUUGGUUCUAUUUUGUUGGUUUUAGGUACCAAAGUAAUGGUUAAUAGGAACAGUUGGGGGCAUUCGUAUUUAACUGUCAGAGGUGAAAUUCUUAGAUUUGUUAAAGACGAACUACUGCGAAAGCAUUUGCCAAGGAUGUUUUCAUUAAUCAAGAACGAAAGU